CAGGACACAGGGGCUCUGCGGCUUCUGGUGUUGAGUGUCCUGGGCAGCUGCUGCUGCCCUGAUCUCCCGCCCUUGUUCACUUGGGGAAAGCACCUGUUUUUUGGGUACUUUUGAAUGUUUGACAAAACCUACUACUUACUAUGGUACUACGUGUGUCAGAGUUCAGCAGUGGAUGUCAGUGUUGCUGCUACUGCCUGGAGGAUGUGGUGUGGGAAAAGGUGCAAUGCACUUCGAACCAGGUGUUACUCGGCUCAUUAGAAGAUACCUGCACUUCAAGGUUUGAUUUAUUUGAAGAGCUGAAUCUGAUAAUAAACUGAAGUCAGGACCAUGAUGUAGACCCAGAUUUCUUUUCACAUGACAGAAUCCUGUGUCUGGGGAGGAUGGAAAGCUGUUGAGGUUUAAAGACUGUCUUGGGUUGCAAUGCAAGAUGUAACCAAAAGUUUGUAUUUUAUUACCAUCUAGUCUGGAAUUCAAGAGCCAUUUGUUUAUUUGGUUGGCAUUUUCAGUCUGUUUUGUGUGACUUUAUCUUAGUUCCAUGUCUAAUCAGUUGUGGUCUCACUGUUGUAUCAUGGAUUGAUCAGUAUUAGUCUGUCUUUACAAACUGCCUUGCUGCAGGGUGAUGCUGAACUGGUAUAUCUCUACAUUAUCUACCUGGAAGCUG